rnacentral:rRNA from 1 species
GGGCGCAGCCUGAUCUGCCCUGCCGCGUGAGGUGAUGAAGGCCUUGGGUCGUAAAGCUCUUUCGCCAGGGAUGAUAAUGACGGGUACCUGGCCAAGGAAACCCCGGCUAACUCCGCUGCCAUGCACCCGCGGUAAUACGAUACGA